CGAGUGAAGCGGCAACAGCUCAAAUUUGAAAUCUGGCUCUUUCAGGGUCCGAGUUGUAAUUUGUAGAAGAUGCUUCGGGUGAGGCUCCGGUCUAAGUUCCUUGGAACAGGACGCCACAGAGGGUGAGAGCCCCUUAUGUGACUGGUUGCCUUCGCCCAUGUGAAGCUCUUUCGACGAGUCGAGUUGUUUGGGAAUGCAGCUCAAAAUGGGUGGUAAAUUUCAUCUAAAGCUAAAUAUUGGCCAGAGACCGAUAGCGCACAAGUAGAGUGAUCGAAAGAUGAAAAGCACUUUGGAAAGAGAGUUAAACAGUACGUGAAAUUGUUGAAAGGGAAGCGCUUGCAACCAGACUUGCACGCGGUUGAUCAUCUGGGGUUCUCCCCAGUGCACUCUGCCGCGUUCAGGCCAGCAUCGGUUUUGGUGGUUGGAUAAAGGCCUUGGGAAUGUGGCUCCUCUCGGGGAGUGUUAUAGCCCUCGGUGCAAUGCAGCCUACCGGGACCGAGGACCGCGCUUCGGCUAGGAUGCUGGCGUAAUGGUUGUAAGCGACCCGUCUUGAAACACGGACCAAGGAGUCUAACAUCUAUGCGAGUGUUUGGGUGUCAAACCCAUACGCGUAAUGAAAGUGAACGGAGGUGAGAACCCUUAAGGGUGCAUCAUCGACCGAUCCUGAUGUCUUCGGAUGGAUUUGAGUAAGAGCAUAGCUGUUGGGACCCGAAAGAUGGUGAACUAUGCGUGAAUAGGGUGAAGCCAGAGGAAACUCUGGUGGAGGCUCGCAGCGGUUCUGACGUGCAAAUCGAUCGUCAAAUUUGCGCAUAGGGGCG
rnacentral:rRNA from 1 species